GGCCCGUUAGCUCGCUUGGUUAGAGCGUCGUGCUAAUAACGCGAAGGUCGAGGGUUCGAUUCCCCCACGGGCCA
rnacentral:tRNA from 1 species